rnacentral:rRNA from 1 species
GACGAACGCUGGCGGCGUGCUUAAUACAUGCAAGUCAACUUGACUUUAGAUAGCAAUAUCGAAAAGUAGGGUGGCGCACGGGUGCGUAACGCGUAGGUAAUCUGCCCUGAGGUCUGACAUAACCCGUCGAAAGGCGGGCUAACAUCAGAUGAUAUAUAAUCACGACAUCGUGGAAAAUAUCAAAUCUUCGGAGCCUUGGGAUGAGCCUGCGUCUGGAUUAGGUAGUUGGCGGAGUAAUAGCCCACCAAGCCUACGAUCAGUAGCUGGUCUGAGAGGAUGAUCAGCCACAC